UAGCACUUAAUGAUUGCUAGCUUUUCCAUGAUCAUCUUGGGAAUUAAGAGUAAAUCCAUCCCCACUCCACAGACUUUGAGACGGGGUGCCCUGCACUACUCGUUUCCUCCCUCCAGAGGGCGCCACUUGGGCAGAAGCCAGGAUCAGCAGCCCAGACAAAGAUGUACAACGCCCUAACGUUACUGUUCUUGCAAGGAGAGGGAGGAGCAAGUAUCACCGCUGGUUCCAGUGAGAACAGAUGACAAAGUGGGGAGGUUGGUGACAGCUGCAACCUGAUAGCCCAGGGAAAAGGACUAUUGUAUGGACAAGAGGACCAGAUGAAAAGGAAAACUUCCCAUUAUUAUACUGAAGCGAGGACAAAAUCUUAGUUUCAAUGGAAUAGUUCAGGACUGCCCCACUAAAACUGGCCAUCCUACUCAAAUGUGACACAAAUUCUAGCAAUGACAGUCAAUCAACAGGUUUCUGGAUGAUAGUAGCUGUUAGUUAAUGUAUGUACAGUAUUUCCCAUCUUCUCUUAAUCCUUCAAAUGCUAUACAUUGUGUAGGGGCCAAGAGGCUUCCUGGAAUGCCAAUAAA